rnacentral:rRNA from 1 species
CGCGGCCUAUCAGCUUGUUGGCGGGGUAACGGCCCACCAAGGCGAUGACGGGUAACUGGCGUGAGAGCGCGACCAGUCACACCGGGACUGAGACACGGCCCGGACUCCUACGGGAGGCAGCAGUAGGGGAUCUUGGACAAUGGGCGAAAGCCUGAUCCAGCGACGCCGCGUGGGGGACGAAGGCCUUCGGGUUGUAAACCCCUGUUGUUGGGAAAGAAGCCGGCCGCAAGGUCGGUGACGGUACCCAACGAGGAAGCCCCGGCUAACUACGUGCCAGCAGCCGCGGUAAGACGUAGGGGGCGAGCGUUAUCCGGAUUCACUGGGCGUAAAGGGCGCGCAGGCGGCUAUGUAAGUCCGGCGUGAAAUCCCACGGCUCAACCGUGGAACUGCGUCGGAUACUGCAUUGGCUUGAGGAUGGUAGAGGCCAUUAGAACUAGCGGUGUAGCGGUGAAAUGCGCAGAUAUCGCUAGGAAUGCCGGUGGCGAAGGCGGAUGGCUGGGCCACUCCUGACGCUGAGGCGCGAAAGCUAGGGGAGCGAACCGGAUUAGAUACCCUGGUAGUCCACGCCGUAAACGUUGGGCGCUAGGUGUGGGUCCCAUUCCACGGGGUCCGUGCCGCAGCUAACGCAUUAAGCGCCCCGCCUGGGGAGUACGG